rnacentral:tRNA from 1 species
GUCCGCGUAGCUCAGCUGGAUAGAGCAUCGCUUUCCUAAAGCGGUGGUCGCAGGUUCGAAUCCUGCCGCGGACGCCA